rnacentral:rRNA from 1 species
AAUCAACGCUGGCGGCGCGCUUAACACAUGCAAGUCGAACGAGAAAGCCGGAGCAAUCUGGUGAGUAAAGUGGCGUACGGGUGAGUAACACGUGGGUAAUCUACCUCUUAGUGGGGAAUAACCUUGGGAAACCGAGGGUAAUACCGCAUAAGCUCGAGAGAGGAAAGCAGCAAUGCGCUGAGAGAGGAGCCCGCGGCCGAUUAGCUAGUUGGUGGGGUAAAAGCCUACCAAGGCAUAGAUCGGUAGCCGGCCUGAGAGGGCACACGGCCACACUGGCACUGAAACACGGGCCAGACUCCUACGGGAGGCAGCAGUGGGGAAUCUUGCACAAUGGGGGAAACCCUGAUGCAGCGACGCCGCGUGAGCGAUGAA